rnacentral:rRNA from 1 species
GAUGAACGCUGGCGGCGUGCCUAAUACAUGCAAGUCGAGCGAACAGACGAGGAGCUUGCUCCUCUGACGUUAGCGGCGGACGGGUGAGUAACACGUGGAUACCCUACCUAUAAGACUGGGAUAACUUCGGGACACCGGAGCUAAUACCGGAUAAUAUAUUGAACCGCAUGGUUCAAUAGUGAAAGACGGUUUUGCUGUCACUUAUAGAUGGAUCCGCGCCGCAUUAGCUAGUUGGUAAGGUAACGGCUUACCAAGGCGACGAUGCGUAGCCGACCUGAGAGGGUGAUCGGCCACACGGGAACUGAGACACGGUCCAGACUCCUACGGGAGGCAGCAGUAGGGAAUCGUCCGCAAUGGGCGAAAGCCUGACGGAGCAACGCCGCGUGAGUGAUGAAGGUCUUCGGAGCGUAAAACUCUGUUAUUAGGGAAGAACAAAUGUGUAAGUAACUAUGCACGUCUUGACGGUACCUAAUCAGAAAGCCACGGCUAACUACGUG